GGUAUCAAUUCUAUUGCGAUUCAUCUGUCAGUGUAGACAUAUUUGAUUGGAUCCGUGGCAUACACACUACUCUGGCAGUGGAGGAACACAUAGGUGGCUAGAUAGAACCAAUACACGAAAUGAAAGGGUUCUCCUAUAUAGAUAUGUUGUCAGGUACUGUUGAGGAGAGGAGCUCAGUGAUGAUGGAGACUGCAGCCCUGGUAGUGCCUGUCACUGCUCUGGAGUUCCUAAGGGAGGAGUACCUGCUGACAGGUUAUAGGCACUAUGGUGUUACGGGAUCGGUUGCCUAUGAUUGGCUCCUCUGGAAGGAAACCAGCAGACACUUGAUCCUGUCAACAGAGACACACAGGGCUUGAAAUAAUAAACAAUGCACUGUAAAGCUCACAACAACAGUUCUUGUGGUGAGAUGUUACCCCACUCUUCCACCAAGGCACCUGCAAGUUCCCGGACAUUUCUGGGGGGAAUGGACCUAGCCCUCACCCUCUAAUCCAACAGGUUCCAGGCGUGCUCAAUGGGAUUGAGAUCCGGGCUCUUCGCUGGCCAUGGCAGAACACUGACAUUCCUGUCUUGCAGGAAAUCAUACACAGAAUGAGCAGUAUUGCUGGUGGCAUUAUCAUGCUGGAGGGUCAUGCCAGGAUGAGCCUGCAGGAAGGGUACCACAUGAGGGAGGAGGACGUCUUCCCUGUAACGCACAGCGUUAAGAUUGCCUGCAAUGACAACAAGCUCAGCCUGAUGAUGCUGUGACAUCCCGCCCCAGACCAUGACGGACCCUCCACCUCCAAAUCGAUCCCGCUCCAGAGUACAGGCCUCGGUGGAACGCUCGUUCCUUCGACGAUAAACGCGAAUCCGACCAUCACCCCUGGUGAGACAAAACUGCAACUCGUCAGUGAAGAGCACUUUUUGCCAGUCCUGUCUGGUCCAGCGAUGGUGGGUUUGUGCCCAUAGGUAACGCUGUUGCCAGGGAUCUUGUACCUGU
rnacentral:lncRNA from 13 species